GGAUUGAGUACAAGAACCAGGCUGGGAAGGUAUGACAUCACACCGAUGAUGUCACACACACCCAGCCUUGUGAUGACGCCCUUUGAUGUUACAGCUUUAGUCUGGAGUCACCAGCAAAAUUCUCUCCAUUUCGCUGGUGAACACAAAGCUCCCCUGACCUACAUUUUGCUUGGCUCCGACUUUUCUGGCUUUAAAGCCGAACGAGAAAACUCAAGAUGUGCAAAACUGAGAGGCAGAAAGCAAUAGCUGCCUUUUUUGAUGCUGAAAAAAUGCGCAGAAGGAACAACAGGGCGUUCAAGAAGCUCCUGAAGAUCAAUGCGGAGCUUGAGAACGCUUCCGAACGCAGAAGACGUUUACGCAUUGGGCAGGAACUGGAGAAAAACGAGAAGGAGUUUUUCGAAGAAUCCGAAAAACGACUCUUUAUAUUGAAUGCGCAAUCUGACAUCUGGGAUGAUGAGCAAGAAAGACUGGAUAGUUUAUCCAAAAUGAGAGAUAAGCUUUUCGGAAUAUUGAAAGAGAUGAACGAUCAACUCGUUGAGGAACCUAUAAUGACAUCAAUGAUCAAGGCAGCCCAACAACAGUAUGAAAGGCUGAAUUUUCUUCACAAAGUUUUAAAGAAAAAUAUUAGAGCCUUGUCAAAACAUCUUGUGCAUCAAACUAAACUGUUUGAUGAGUACACAGAGAAAGUAUCGGAAAGCAAGGAGAUGAUAGCAAUUCAAGACGGCUACUUUAAAGAGCUUAGGAAAACAUUAAGAGUGUUCAACGUGGCCAACGUGGAUAAAAAAGUUAUGGCAGAAGAGGAACGUGUGAAGAAAGCAGUCGAUAAGAAUCAUAAGCUCGAGGAAAUGAUCAAAACCUUGAGACAGCAAGCGGUUAACGUGCCCUUGUUGAAAUAUCAAUUUCAAUGUGCAGUAGAUGAGGAACGAAGGCUCAAAGACCUCAACGUCGAGUUAGACAAGGUGAUUCGGAACUUGACAGAUAUACUUACCAAUCAAACUAAGUGGGACGCCACUUAUCAAGACGUGGACAAGAAGAUCAAUAAUCUUAACGAAAUUUACUAUUCUCACCUGAAGAUGUAUGAGGAUUUGACAGGAAAGAAAAUACAAGUUGGGAGCGACUCGACACUUUCCGUGGUUCCAAAAGAGAAAAAUAAGAAAGACUUCUUUGCCAAACGCUUACAUAGAUACAGGUCUAAAAUCCAUGCUCUCCAUCAGGAAUACACAUCCUUUCAACCAGAAAUUCAGAGAUUUCUGGGGGACCUUCACCCUGAUUCUGGCGAGGGUACUGCGGAAUCAAAAACUCGUUCUUCCAUUCCUUCGACAAUGGCCUGGAAGUUUACAGGACUGACUUCUAAACACAGGGAACCAGAGAAGUUUUCUGAUGAGUCUUCAAGUGAGACCGAGUUUGAGGACAGUGAGACAACAGAGGAGUCAACAGACGAUUCCAGACAGAAAAGGAGUUAUGCCAUGUUUGGGAAGAAGACUGAAAAAACAGCAUCUGUAAAGGACGAGUAUGAGUAUGAGUCAUCAACAGAUUGCUGCUCUCUUACUAGUACAGAAACCACAACAAAGGUCCAGUCUUACUGCAAAACAUCAACGGAUGGUUCAAGACAUGAUUCACCUUCCUACUCAGAGGAGUGGUGGAUGGUAUGGCGGAAGGUCUUUUUCUGAGUGAAGGAUGGAAGGACGGUAAAAGGUAUGGUUGGGGUUAGGGAAAAUGUGUGGGAUAGCCAUAAUCACAGUAUCUAGAAUCAGUGGAAGUUAAUGAAACAUCUUAAUAUGUGUAGAAAUGAAAAACCUAUUUGACCUAUGUGACGGUUGCCUUAUGAUAUUCUAACUGUUUAGGUUUUCCCCGGGUGAUCCGGUUGACCUGUUUAAACAAAAAAGACUUACAAACUUCAUAUUUUGAUGAUGACACUCCUCAAGCAUCCGCAUCAGCAAGUUCAGAGAGAUCUUCUGCCGUGGCAACAGACACCUUGACCUGAGAGUACACCGUCUCCUGCUGCC